rnacentral:rRNA from 1 species
GACGAACGCUGGCGGCGUGCUUAACACAUGCAAGUCGAACGGAAAGGCCCUUCUUUUGUGGGGUGCUCGAGUGGCGAACGGGUGAGUAACACGUGAGUAACCUGCCCUUCACUUUGGGAUAACUUCAGGAAACUGGGGCUAAUACCGGAUAGGAGCUCCUUCUGCAUGGUGGGGUUUGGAAAGUUUCGGCGGUUGGGGAUGGACUCGCGGCUUAUCAGCUUGUUGGUGGGGUAGUGGCUUACCAAGGCUUUGACGGGUAGCCGGCCUGAGAGGGUGACCGGCCACAUUGGGACUGAGAUACGGCCCAGACUCCUACGGGAGGCAGCAGUGGGGAAUAUUGCACAAUGGGCGGAAGCCUGAUGCAGCAACGCCGCGUGCGGGAUGACGGCCUUCGGGUUGUAAACCGCUUUCGCCUGUGACGAAGCGUGAGUGACGGUAAUGGGUAAAGAAGCACCGGCUAACUACGUG